rnacentral:lncRNA from 1 species
AAAAACCUGCACGUCUUGCCUUUUCAUAUUUCCUCAGUUUAUUUCAUGCAGUGUUUUUAAAGAACAUGUCAUCUUUUCUGUCUUGACGAUAAUGUGGGUGGUUGUAAUUUAUAUCAGCACUUUAAGGGGAUUUUGUUAGAAUCUGAGUGGGGGCGAGCUUUAGCCCCUUAAUGAUGUGUAUAAAGUCUGUUCAACAAAUUUUUAAAUUAUAACGUAGCUUCCUAAUGGAUGUUUAGAUAUAUCACUUCUUCAAGAUUGUACGUCAUUUGGUAAUUGUGAUUUCUGUAUGCGCAUGCCCUUAUUGUGUGCUUUGUUGCUAUGCUUCUGUUGCAAGUAGGAACUGUGAACAUGGCUCCUUUUUUUAUGAUUAUCCUUGUGAUUAGCAGUUUCAAAUCGUACUCUUUUUUCCCAACUUGGUAACUUUUGGAUUCUUUACGAGCGUCUCUCUUUUAU